rnacentral:lncRNA from 1 species
ACCGCCAUCUGAGACACGCUUCCACACUCCAUCUGAGCCACGCCCCACACCCCAUCUGAGCCAUGCCCCACACCUCCCAGGUCUACCACCUGCUCUUUGGUCCCUCGUCUGCCCUGGAUUCACAGUCCGGCCUCCACAAGGGUCAGGAGCCCUGGAGCCACCUAGGGAGCAAUCCCCUGUUCCGGAUGGAGGAGCUGCUGCUGGCUCCUGCCCUCCUGGAGCGGCUCACCUGCACGCCAGGCUCUGGGAAGCUGGGCCGGAUCCUCACUGUGCCUGAGAGUCAGAAGGGGCCCUGCAGAGCUACCAGGAUGCUGUCUGCAGUGGGCAGGCUGCUGCACGUGCCAGGCGCUUCUCUGGGCUGGCCGAUGAACUCCGGAACCAGCUGGACAUGGCCAAGGUCUCCCAGCAGGUGAGGCCCUGCCUGCCCACUGCCCGCUGCUUGCUGCCUGAGUUGAAAGAGGGGCUGGGGCUGCUUGG